CUAAACCUAGCCCCAAACCCACUCCACCUUACUACCAAACAGAGUGUGAGAAUGAAAGAAAUGCAACUUUCAAUCACUAAGAAGGUGAUUUUGAGCUAGAAUGUGGUAGGUGAAGGUCUCAGUCAUACAUAAAUCUGAGUAAAAAGCAUUUCGGGCUGAGGAAAAAACAAGGGAAAAAGGCCUGAGGCAGCCAUGUGCCUGGAGAAGCAGAGCAAGAGUAAGGUGGUGAGUUCCUAAAAUAUGAUGAGUGAAAUGUUUUUUUUUUUUUUCCAGUUCUAAGGGAUAAAUUUAGACAGAAAGAGGUUAGAUUAUAAGCCAUUAAAACAUUGUAAUAACUUUGGUUUUAAUAUACAUAUGAGAAGCCACUUGAGGGUCAAAACUCUGAAAAGAUAAGAAGUGUCACGCUCAAACUUCCAGUUUUAAAAGAUCACUGUAAAUGAGCAAAUUGGAGGAUUCAGCAACAAAAGUGGAAACAGCACAUUUCAGAGACUAUUGCAAAAACCCUUAGGAAAACUGACGGUGCUUUGGCCCAAGCUAUUAGGACUGGGGAUGGAAUGAAGUGAUUGGAUUCUAGAUACACUUUUUGAGAAUAGCGGUACAAUAUCUUCUGGCAUAGUAUUUCACUUAUGGAAUGUAUUACAUGGAAAUAAUCACAUGUCAUCAAAAGGAUUAGCAGCAAAAGUUUUCCAGGAAGUUCACUGAAUUAUUAUUUGUACUAGUUACUAUGGUAACAACCUAUAUAAGCAAUGCACAUUCAUUAGUGAUAAACUAGACAUUUCUAGAAAAUAAGUAAAUAACUUCUUACUCAACAGUAUAAGUUAUUCCAUUUCAUGAGUUACCUUUGAUCCAUUUUGUACUUACUGUUUGAUGAAUAUAGCUUUUAUUAAAAGAAAAUUUUAGGCCGGGCAUGGUGGCUUACACUUCUAAUUCCAGCACUAAAUGUUUCUCAUAAACACUGCAUUGAUAGAUCCAUUUCAAUAUUGGACUUUCCAUUGACUGUGCUAAUGGUUACAAGAGAACAUGGGCAUUUGAAAAAUAAAAUGUUACUACCAUAGAUGAUUCUUUAUAUUUAAAUCCAAGAAGCAGCCUGUUAAAGAUUAAAAAGGACAUUUCUGGAGUUUCACAGUGGGAUGCUGAAACCAAGUGGAAUCUGCUAUAGAGAGCCAAUUGUUAAAUAUUCAGGAAUGUUUCAAGCCAGUUGGCAGCAUUGGUGGUUUAAAAUUAACUAUGGUGGGAGUAUUUACACCACAGAAAUUGGUAAGUGCUACAGAUAGGGCCCUCACAGAGCCAUUUUUUAAACAUUUAUCAGCAUACAACUGAAUAGAGGUGCUUUAUUGUACAUAACACAAAGAUUGGAAAAACAAACUUAGCAUGUAAGGUACAUCAGAGAUAGUUCAAAUAUAGUUCAAAAUAUAGUUCAGCAUAAAUGUAUUUUAGGUAGUUUAUG
rnacentral:lncRNA from 1 species